AUUGAACGCUGGCGGCAGGCCUAACACAUGCAAGUCGAAUGGUAACAGGAAACAGCUUGCUGUUUCGCUGACGAGUGGCGGACGGGUGAGUAAUGUCUGGGAAACUGCCUGAUGGAGGGGGAUAACUACUGGAAACGGUAGCUAAUACCGCAUAACGUCGCAAGACCAAAGAGGGGGACCUUCGGGCCUCUUGCCAUCAGAUGUGCCCAGAUGGGAGUAGCUAGUAGGUGGGGUAACGGCUCACCUAGGCGACGAUCCCUAGCUGGUCUGAGAGGAUGACCAGCCACACUGGAACUGAGACACGGUCCAGACUCCUACGGGAGGCAGCAGUGGGGAAUAUUGCACAAUGGGCGCAAGCCUGAUGCAGCCAUGCCGCGUGUAUGAAGAAGGCCUUCGGGUUGUAAAGUACUUUCAGCGGGGAGGAAGGGAGUAAAGUUAAUACCUUGGCUCAUUGACGUUACCCGCAGAAGAAGCACCGGCUAACUCCGUG
rnacentral:rRNA from 1 species